rnacentral:rRNA from 1 species
CCUACGGGAGGCAGCAGUGAGGAAUAUUGGUCAAUGGUCGCGAGACUGAACCAGCCAAGCCGCGUGAAGGAGGACGGUUCUGUGUAUUGUAAACCUCUUUUGUCAGAGAACACAUACUGGGACGCGUCCCCGGAUGAGAGUAUCUGACGAAAAAGCAUCGGCUAACUCCGUGCCAGCAGCCGCGGUAAUACGGAGGAUGCAAGCGUUAUCCGGAUUUAUUGGGUUUAAAGGGUGCGACGGCGGUGUGUUAAGUCAGAGGUGAAAGCCCGGGGCGAAACCCCGGCACCGCCUUUGAAACUGGCAGGCUAGAGUUGAGGAGCGGUAGGCGGAAUGCACGGUGUAGCGGUGAAAUGCAUAGAGAUCGUGCAGAACACCGAUUGCGAAGGCAGCAUACC